CCUACGGGAGGCAGCAGUGGGGAAUCUUGCGCAAUGGGCGAAAGCCUGACGCAGCAACGCCGCGUGCGGGAAGAAGGUUUUCGGGCUGUAAACCGCUUUCAGCAGGAACGAAAAUGACGGUACCUGCAGAAGAAGGAGCGGCCAACUAUGUGCCAGCAGCCGCGGUGAUACAUAGGCUUCAAGCGUUGUCCGGAUUUAUUGGGCGUAAAGAGUUCGUAGGCGGUCGAGUAAGUCGGGUGUGAAAAUUCUGGGCUCAACCCAGAGACGCCACCCGAUACUGCUUAACUUGAGUUCGAUAGGGGAGUGGGGAAUUCCUAGUGUAGCGGUGAAAUGCGCAGAUAUUAGGAGGAACACCGGUGGCGAAGGCGCCACUCUGGAUCGAUACUGACGCUGAGGGACGAAAGCAUGGGUAGCAAACAGGAUUAGAUACCCUGGUAGUCCAUGCCGUAAACGGUGGGCACUAGGUGUGGGAUUCUAUUAACGAAUUCCGCGCCGUCGCUAACGCAUUAAGUGCCCCGCCUGGGGAGUACGGUCGCGAGACGUAAACUACAANAGAGUAAGUACGGCGUUGAGACGUUGCCGAACGGCGACGACGAGGGAGGAGG
rnacentral:rRNA from 1 species